rnacentral:rRNA from 1 species
GUUUGAUCCUGGCUCAGAUUGAACGCUGGCGGCAUGCCUUACACAUGCAAGUCGAACGGCAGCAUGGGUGCUUGCACCUGAUGGCGAGUGGCGAACGGGUGAGUAAUGCAUCGGAACGUACCCGGAAGUGGGGGAUAACGUAGCGAAAGUUACGCUAAUACCGCAUAUUCUGUGAGCAGGAAAGCGGGGGAUCGCAAGACCUCGCGCUUCCGGAGCGGCCGAUGUCGGAUUAGCUAGUUGGCGGGGUAAAGGCCCACCAAGGCAACGAUCCGUAGCGGGUCUGAGAGGAUGAUCCGCCACACUGGGACUGAGACACGGCCCAGACUCCUACGGGAGGCAGCAGUGGGGAAUUUUGGACAAUGGGGGCAACCCUGAUCCAGCCAUGCCGCGUGAGUGAAGAAGG